UCUCUAUUCACAAGCCAAAAUGCUGAUCAAAAUGCAGGUGGCCAGAUUUGGCUCAGAAACUGCAUAUGAAAAUAGCAGUCCAGAAUAUUGCUGCCUACCUGGAUUCUGCACUUCUCCCUCUGCUGUAGCUCAGCACGCUGUGAUAUGCUGCAGAAGGCAGGGCAUCCAGGACAACAAAACUAAACCUGAGCUAAGGGAAAGAGCUUUUCAGUGUGUUUUCUCUCUAUGAAGCUGAGUGAAUAACCUCAGCUCUGAUUGGUGAAGACCAGCAGUAUCAAUGGGAAAACCAGCAAGGCUGUACAUAGCACGGGAUAAACUGAAUUGUAGCUUUAAUUUGUGUUUUGGAGCAUUUAACUCAGAUGUCUUGCACAUGAAUAGCUACUACUUCCAUAUGGGUAUCAAAGACCAUAUGCAGGCAUUUGUUCAUGCAGAUGGAGAGGCAAAUUAAGCUUCUAUCUUUGACAACUGCCCCCUUGGUAUAACAAAAUUCUUCCAGAUCAUAGACACACGCAGCUUAAAACUAAGAUGCCUGAGUCUUGGGUCUGUAAUAAACACAUUCUCUCCUCCUUGACGUUUUGAGCUCAAAAUUCACAAAUGCCAAUUAUCUUUUCACAGCAUAAGAAAGUGAAGCAAAAUAAUUGUCAUGGUCUGGAGAUGAUGAUGAGCAGCCACACAUUUCACCGUUACCAUUCUCACCUUCCUGCUCCUUCCUGCUCUGGUCGGAAGAAAGUAAAUCAUUGAUGUUUCCCUCCAGAAGGAAAUGUCUACUUCAUUUAUUCACUGCUUUGUGGUAAGGAGGAUUCAUCAACGUACGAAAUUGCAGUCGACAACAAGGAAAGGUUAUGAACCCAUUGGCCUAUGUAUUCCCUCUGUCGGCCCUGUUUGGAAAAGAAGCACAAUCAAAUUUCAGUGAUUGCAUCAGAAAUCUUAAUGAUUAACAAUACGUACAAAGCAAAGAAUGUUCAACAGGGGCAACAGUAUGAUUACAUGGAGUCACCAGAUGGUGCUAUUGUACAUUGUCUGCCUUGCUCUGUUCAUCUGGAUAUCAAGGAGUCCCCUCUAAUGAAAUGCAAAACAUCAGCUGUGAUGCGGUUCCUACCAAAAUCCCUCGUAAAGCUUGUCUCUUGACUGAACUUCCCUGAUAAAGAACUAUAUUCAUAGGCCAAAUAAUGACACUGCGCAGAAGAGGUCAUAGUAAGGCAGAGUUUGUAGAAAGAAAUUAUACUCUUUUUCUGCCACUUGAAGAAACAGCUCCUAAGAAGGAGGUUCACUGGGUUCAGUUCUACCUCCACUACAGCCCUGAUCAGUGCAGUUUUCUCUCUUCCACAUCACUUCAAAGCUACAACACACUUGGAUCAACUUCCAUAUUAUCUGGCUGCAUAGAAGCACAACCUUAGUCUCCCCACCACCAUCUGAAGUUGCUUGAAAGCUACUGAUAAUUGCCCCUCUAUUUAAUUCUGUUUAUUACAUAGAAAACAUUAUCAAUAUUUUCUUUUCCUGUGCCAUGGCAGAAUAGGCCUCCUAAUUUAUGAGCUGACGCAUUCUGAAUAGAGUAUAAAGCGUUGUCUGCAGCUAUUCUUUGCAACUUAUUUAAAGUGUUGAAGAAGCGUUCUGUCUACAUUGGCAUGCUGUUUCAUUAUUUUUUUCCUCCCUAACUUGAUCUAUGAUUAAACCCAGAUCUUCACACCUUUCCAUGCUUAAAAGCUGUUUUUGAGGAAGUUUUUCAACAAUUAUUGUUGUGUUUGUUUUUUUUUUUACUUUCAGGCUGAUGGCACCCUGGCAACGUUAUAACUAAGCGCUUUGAAAAAGUGUUAUGUAGAUAUAUAAUGAUGUUUCCCAAAGAGGAUAAAAUCUGAUUGUUCACUUCAGAAAGCCGCUUUUAUCACUUUUUAGUGAGUUGAUUCACUUAUUUAGUAAAUUCCAUUAGAUCUCAAGAUAAGCAGAUACCCUGAAGUUUGUUUUUAUUCUGAGUUUACAGUCCCCUUUUGCAUCUGCGUUGACUGUUUUGACUUGGAUGUAAUCAUAGGUAAAUUUUAUUUCUUAUUAUUGGAGCCUGAUUGUAUAUGAUUAUCUGUUAAAGCACUCAGCAUGUUUAAUAACAUUUGAUUGUUAUUAUUUUGUGUUCCAAGCUUUCAGCAUUCAAUAAACUGAAAGGGUUAAAUACCUUAGUUGCUCCC
ensembl:lncRNA